rnacentral:rRNA from 1 species
UACAGAGGUGGCAAGCGUUGUUCGGAAUUACUGGGCGUAAAGGGCGCGUAGGCGGUUCGUUAAGUCCUGUGUGAAAUCCCCCGGCUCAACUGGGGAACUGCACAGGAAACUAGCGGGCUUGAGUUCGGGAGAGGGAAGCGGAAUUCCGGGUGUAGCGGUGGAAUGCGUAGAGAUCCGGAAGAACACCAGUGGCGAAGGCGGUUAGCUGGGCAGUUGCUGACACUGAUGCGCGACAGCGUGGGGAGCAAACAGG